rnacentral:rRNA from 1 species
CCUACGGGUGACAGCAGUGAGGAAUAUUGGUCAAUGGUCGGGAGACUGAACCAGCCAAGCCGCGUGAGGGAUGAAGGUACAGAGUAUCGUAAACCUCUUUUGUCAGGGAACCCAGGCGGGGACGUGUCCCCGGAUGAGUGUACCUGAAGAAAAAGCAUCGGCUAACUCCGUGCCAGCGGCCGCGGUAAUACGGAGGAUGCGAGCGUUAUCCGGAUUUAUGGGGUUAACAGGGUGCGCAGGCGGUCUGUUAAGUUAGCGGUCAAAGCCCGGGGCUCAACCCCGGGCCGCCGUUGAAACUGGCAGUCUCGAGUUGGAGAGAGGUAUGCGGAAUGCGCGGUGUAGCGGUGAAAUGCAUAGAUAUCGCGCAGAACUCCGAUUGCGAAGGCAGCAUGUCGGCUCCACACUGACGCUGAGGCACGAAAGCGUGGGUAUCGAACAGGAUUAGAUACCCGAGUAGUC